rnacentral:rRNA from 1 species
AUUGAACGCUGGCGACAUGCCUUACACAUGCAAGUCGAACGGCAGCACGGGUGCUUGCACCUGGUGGCGAGUGGCGAACGGGUGAGUAAUACAUCGGAACAUGUCCUGUAGUGGGGGAUAGCCCGGCGAAAGCCGGAUUAAUACCGCAUACGAUCUACGGAUGAAAGCGGGGGACCUUCGGGCCUCGCGCUAUAGGGUUGGCCGAUGGCUGAUUAGGUAGUUGGUGGGGUAAAGGCCUACCAAGGCGACGAUCAGUAGCUGGUCUGAGAGGACGACCAGCCACACUGGGACUGAGACACGGCCCAGACUCCUACGGGAGGCAGCAGUGGGGAAUUUUGGACAAUGGGCGAAAGCCUGAUCCAGCAAUGCCGCGUGUGUGAAGAAGGCCUUCGGGUUGUAAAGCACUUUUGUCCGGAAAGAAAUCCUUGGCCCUAAUACGGUCGGGGGAUGACGGUACCGGAAGAAUAAGCACCGGCUAACUACGUG